GUCAAUCACGCACAAAAACAGAAAUGGGCAUUAUGGGAAAACCAUGGCCAUGGGGGUAGCGACGGCUGAGUUCAGGUUCCGAGAACAGGAUGAUGAAGCAUGACAAUGUCGGCGAUCACCACAGUGACCAAUAUAUAGCAUGACUUCUGACGCAGUGACUGUGCACAUGCUGUGCAUAUUGUGAUUGUCUUUGGUUCCUUGCGAUUCUGCUGGGUCAAGGAUUUAAGCAUUGCGGUCUCCUCGAUCAGGGCAAUGGCCGUGUUGCGUAGCAACGGCUCAAUUGCUCUUCGGAGGUUGUCGAGCUUGUGGCUGCGAAGUGGAAUGGGGGUGGUUGAGAAUCGAUCUGUUGUUGAAAGCUCGCAAUGGAGCGGGGAGGGUUUAAGCUGCGCCGGAUUGAAUCGGGUGGGGCGUCGUUGCGAAGGGAUCCAUUCAGAUGCGUCGGCAGGCGGACUUGACCACUACAAGGUGGCUGUUGUGGGUGCUGGACCAGCAGGGCUUGCUGUAGUCUCAACCCUUUUGGAUCAUGGGUGUACUUCCAUUUUGUGGAUUGAUCCACGCUUCAACUCUGGCCGUCUUUCCUCCUACACUGAGGUUCCAUCCAACACCAAAGUGAAACUGUUCCAGCAAUUUGUCACAACGUCACCCACCUUGAACCGCUUCGCAAGUCAAGCUUUAGAGCAUUACAAUGGGCAGGAUCCAGAUCGAGGUUGCUCUCUUUCCCUUGCCGUGCGCAUGGUCAAAACCCUAACAGAUUGUAUCCGCCAACAAGACGUCAACCGGGUGCGCUGCUCUGAAAAUGUUGUGAAGGAGCUCAGUUUUUUGGAUGGCAAAUGGCAUAUAGAUUCAGGGGAAGUAGUGGACCAGGUAUACCUUGUGACUGGUUCUAUGCCUUCGAAAUAUGACACACAAAGCGGAGUGGAAGACAUUCACCUGGAUUUGGCCCUCAAGCCAUCCUCUCUUGCUGGUCUUGUUUCAGAAUGUGACACUGUAGGAGUGGUAGGCAGUAGCCAUUCAGCCAUGCUUGCAUUAAGGAACCUUGUUGAUUGUAAGGUGCAGCCGAAGAAAAUCAUUAAUUUUUAUCGAAGUCCAUUGUUGUAUGCCCAAUACAUGGACAAUUGGAUCUUGUACGACAACACGGGGCUCAAAGGAGAGGUAGCGGAGUGGGCUGUGAAAGAGGUCGAUACAGGGAAUUUGGAGGACAAGGGCAUAGUAACCCGGGUUUGUGUGAAAGGUUUAACCUUGGAUGAGCAGAUUGCGCAUUGGCAAAGGUGUACAAAACUCAUUCAAGCGGUAGGGUUCUGUCGCAAUGUGUUGCCAAAAAUUACCGUCAUCGGACAAGAGCUCGUGGAUGUGAAAUACGAUCCACUGAAUGGCAGAAUUGCAGACGGUCUUUUUGGAUAUGGAAUUGCGUUUCCAGAACAGACCACUGAUCCUUAUGGCAAUCGAGAGCUUGCCGUAGGGCUUUGGAAAUUUAUGCGUUACGCUCGAGCUACGAUUCCAACGCAUUUCUCCCAUUUGCUGUAGUACACCUGGUUAUCUGAAAACCCCCAACACAUGUUACAGCUCUGAUGUGACCGAGGUUUCAAGGCAAGGCCAUUGAAUAAGAUGCGAUCCAAAACAUGUCAAUGUGCACUGUUACUUAAGUUAGUGCUUUGAGAAGUUUUAGUUCAGUCCAGGUUUGUCUGAACAUGUUUCAACCUUCAAUCAGGCCCACAACGCAUGGGACUAUGCUUCAAUACGGAAAUUGCAAUAGCGUUGAACCAAUUCUGUGCGGAGCUUGGAGUUUCAAGUCAAAUCAUUAAACUCGCGGCAAGUUGCAACAAAUCUGAAGUGUCUGAAGUGUCUGAAGUUUGCUCAAGUUCACGAUUUCAGAACCCAAUCACUCUAGAAAGUUUGCGUACAUCCACAGAAUAGUGUUGGAUGUGUCUGCGUAAUGCAUUUAGUUUUUCCGGAAGCCAAAAUGCUAUAAGAAUAGUGAAGACGAAACAAAAUCAGGAGGAAGAGCGGAAAAAUCUAUUAUCGGGAUAACACCUCCCAUCUGCGCUUUUACUGAUUCGUUUUUUCAGGUUCUGAGUCUCUGGAUUGAAAUGUUUAUGUCUACACUUACAGGGGUGAUUAAGUUCUUUGUA